rnacentral:rRNA from 1 species
AGUUAGUGGCGGACGGGUGAGUAACGCGUGGAAAACCUGCCGUAUACUGGGGGAUAACACUUAGAAAUAGGUGCUAAUACCGCAUAAGCGCACAGCUUCGCAUGAAGCGGUGUGAAAAACUCUGGUGGUAUACGAUGGUUCCGCGUCUGAUUAGCUAGUUGGUGGGGUAAUGGCCUACCAAGGCAACGAUCAGUAGCCGGCCUGAGAGGGUGAACGGCCACAUUGGGACUGGGACACGGCCCAAACUCCUACGGGAGGCAGCAG